AGAGUUUGAUCAUGGCUCAGGAUGAACGCUAGCGGCAGGCUUAACACAUGCAAGUCGAGGGGCAGCGCGGGUAGCAAUACCUGGCGGCGACCGGCAAACGGGUGCGGAACACGUACAGAACCUACCUCAGUCUGGGGCAUAGCCCGGAGAAAUCCGGAUUAACUCCCCAUAGCAUUAUAGAGUGGCAUCACUCAGUAAUU
rnacentral:rRNA from 1 species